rnacentral:rRNA from 1 species
AUUGAACGCUGGCGGCAUGCCUUACACAUGCAAGUCGAACGGUAGCAGGUCUUCGGAUGCUGACGAGUGGCGAACGGGUGAGUAAUACAUCGGAACGAGCCUAGUAGUAGGGGAUAACUACUCGAAAGAGUGGCUACUAACGCAUGAGAUCUACGGAUGAAAGCAGGGGAUCGCAAGACCUUGUGCUACUAGAGCGGCGGAUGGCGGAUUAGGUAGUUGGUGGGAUAAAAGCGUACCAAGCCGAAGAUCUGUAGCUGGUCUGAGAGGACGAUCAGCCACACUGGGACUGAGACACGGCCCAGACUCCUACGGGAGGCAGCAGUGGGGAAUUUUGGACAAUGGGCGCAAGCCUGAUCCAGCAAUGCCGCGUGCAGGAUGAAGGCCUUCGGGUUGUAAACUGCUUUUGUACGGAACGAAAAGCCCUGGGUUAAUACCCUGGGGUCAUGACGGUACCGUAAGAAUAAGCACCGGCUAACUACGUGCCAGCCGCCGCAGUAACAC